rnacentral:rRNA from 1 species
GAUCAUGGCUCAGAUUGAACGCUGGCGGCAGGCCUAACACAUGCAAGUCGAGCGGAUGAGAGGAGCUUGCUCCUCGAUUCAGCGGCGGACGGGUGAGUAAUGCCUAGGAAUCUGCCUAGUAGUGGGGGACAACGUUUCGAAAGGAACGCUAAUACCGCAUACGUCCUACGGGAGAAAGUGGGGGAUCUUCGGACCUCACGCUAUUAGAUGAGCCUAGGUCGGAUUAGCUAGUUGGUAGGGUAAAGG